rnacentral:rRNA from 1 species
UACGGAGGGGGCUAGCGUUAUUCGGAAUUACUGGGCGUAAAGCGCACGUAGGCGGACCAGAAAGUUAGGGGUGUAAUCCCGGGGCUCAACCUCGGAACUGCCUCUAAAACUCCUGGUCUUGAGUUCGAGAGAGGUGAGUGGAAUUCCGAGUGUAGAGGUGAAAUUCGUAGAUAUGCGGAGGAACACCGAUGGCGAAGGCAACCCCCUGGGCCUGUACUGACGCUCAUGCACGAAAGCGUGGGGAGCAAACAGG